UGGGGAAUCUUCCGCAAUGGACGAAAGUCUGACGGAGCAACGCCGCGUGAGUGAAGACGGCCUUCGGGUUGUAAAGCUCUGUGAUUCGGGACGAAAGGCCAUAUGUGAAUAAUAUAUGGAAAUGACGGUACCGAAAAAGCAAGCCACGGCUAACUACGUGCCAGCAGCCGCAGUAAUACGUAGGUGGCAAGCGUUGUCCGGAAUUAUUGGGCGUAAAGCGCGCGCAGGCGGUCACUUAAGUCCAUCUUAGAAGUGCGGGGCUUAACCCCGUGAUGGGAGUGAAACUGGGAGACUGGAGUAUCGGAGAGGAAAGUGGAAUUCCUAGUGUAGCGGUGAAAUGCGUAGAUAUUAGGAAGAACACCGGUGGCGAAUGCGACUUUCUGGACGAAAACUGACGCUGAGGCGCGAAAGCGUGGGGAGCAAACAGG
rnacentral:rRNA from 1 species